GAGUUUGAUCCUGGCUCAGGAUUAACGCUGGCGGCAUGCCUAAUACAUGCAAGUCGAACGGAGUAGCAAUACUUAGUGGCGAACGGGUGAGUAACACGUAUCUAAUCUACCAUUUAGUGGGGAAUAACUGUUGGAAACGACAGCUAAUACCGCAUAAUAUUGCUGGAUAAUUUCCAGUAAUGAAAGGAGCUUUCAAGCUCCGCUGAUUGAUGAGGAUGCGGCGCAUUAGCUAGUUGGUAGGGUAAUGGCCUACCAAGGCAAUGAUGCGUAGCCGAUCUGAGAGGAUGAACGGCCACAUUGGGACUGAGACACGGCCCAAACUUCUACGGAAGGCAGCAGUAGGGAAUUUUUCACAAUGGGCGAAAGCCUGAUGGAGCAAUGCCGCGUGACUGAUGAAGGUCUUCGGAUUGUAAAGGUCUGUUGUAAGGGAAGAAAUGGUAAAACAGGAAAUGGUUUUAUCUAUGACGGUACCUUACCAGAAAGCCACGGCUAACUAUGUGCCAGCAGCCGCGGUAAUACAUAGGUGGCAAGCGUUAUCCGGAUUUAUUGGGCGUAAAGGGUGCGUAGACGGUUUUGCAAGUCUGAGGUUAAAUUUAGGAGCUCAACUCCUAAUCGCCUUGGAAACUACAAGACUAGAGUAUAGGAGAGGUUAGUGGAAUUCCAUGUGUAGCGGUGGAAUGUGUAGAUAUAUGGAGGGAACACCAGUGGCGAAG
rnacentral:rRNA from 1 species